ensembl:lncRNA
AGACCUCUGGGGUGACCCAGUCUUGUUAAAGAAGUGAGUUCAACAGAGCCAACUGUGAAUGAAAUGGGUAAAUCAGAUCCUGUUGAUCCUCUGGCCAGAACCCUGUGCUGCUCUUACAGACUCAGAGUAGAAGCCAUGGCCUCUGCUUGAUCCAGCCCUUCCUCACUGGCCUGCUUCCUCUAUCUCUGUACCCCUUCUCUCCCCUCUCCAGCCACACUGACAUCCUCACUAUGCUUCAUACACCCCAGGGCCUUUGCACAGCCAUUCGUCUGCUGGGAAAGCUUCGUCUCAAGAUAGUGUCAAGGCUGCUGCCUCUCACUGUGGCUGCCUCCGGGAGGUCUUCCUUACCUUUAAAAAUCACCUCUGCACCCCCACACUCACUGUCCCCCUUCCCCCAACCAGGACCUGACAUGUGCAGGCACCUUUCACUGCUUGACCUGUCAGCAUUUGCGGAUCUAGAGAAGGGGGUGCCCUGUCCAAGGGCAAGCGUCCCUCUUUUCAGUCUGUUUGGCUCACAGCUGUGUCCCUAGUGCAGGGCACGGUGCCAGACACUCAGCAGGGCCUCCAUAAAUAUUUGUAGCCUGAGCAAGUGAACAAAUGGAUGGAAUCACAUUUGAAAGACAAAGCUCUGGGACUUCAAAGAACUUGUUGAUUAAAGGGGUGGAGUUCAGCUGUGCUGUCCUCUACAUGGGAUUUCUUCUCAGGGAGGCUCAUCCCCUGAGCUGGACAGCUCCCAGCUGACUGCCUCCCUGCUCAGUGGCAGCAGCAGAAAGACAGGUGCCCACAACACCAGCCCCAAAGUCCGAGGUUGCUCACCAUUGACUGCCUUGAGUCACGUGCCCUUUGCUGGACCAAUCACAGUGGCCAGAAAUGGAAUAUGGGGUCAUCAAGGCCCAGACACAGAGGUGUGGGGGCUCCCAAUAUGCCACUCUCAGGAGACAUAGGCUGCUAGAAACAACAGAUGACCCCUGUACUAGGGAACAGUUAAAAGAAAAUACUGGGCUGGGGAUUUAGCUCAGUGGUUUUGCCACCUGCUGCUGCAUAAGCACAAGGACCCGAGUUCAAUCCCUGGUAUCAAAAAAAAAAAAAAUACUAAUGCUCUUUGACAUUCUGAAAUCAAAGAUUUGAAAUCCAAACUCAUAAGUGACAGUUCAUUUUAAGUCAACUUGGCAAGGCCGUGGUGCCCAGAGAUGAGGUCAAAUAUUAUUUAGAAGUUUCUAUAAGGGUGUUUGGGGAUGAGAUUAACAUUUAAAUCAGUGGACUUUAAGGAAAGCAGAUUGCCCUCCAUAAUGUGGGGGGCCACAUCCAAUCAGGUGAAGGCCUGCAUAGAAGAAAACACUGACCUCCUGCAAGCAAAAAGAAUUCUUCAGCAGAUGUCUCAGACUUAAACAGCAGCACCAGCUCCUUCCAGGGUCUCCAGCCUGCUGCUCUACCCUGCGGGUGCUGGACUUGCCAGCCCCCAUAGCCACAGGAGCCAAUUGCUGAAGAUAAACUUCUUUCCGUAUAUGAACCAUAGGUGUUGAAAAACUUUACCCUCUGAAGGUUUGAUAAUUGGGUCUAUGAAGUAUACUGACAAUGGACAGACUAAUGGGAGAAAAGUUAUACAAAUUCCUUACCCACACAGGGGCAUCACAGGAAAGAGAAGUGACCAGUCCCAGCCCAGGGUGAUCCGGAAUCAUAUAUACCUGCUUCAGUGGGGAGGGGGAAGGGGAAGGCUAACUGGCCAUUGGGUGCCAGCCGGGGGUAAAGUAUCUGGGCACAGAGUGACCUUGGGUACACCUGCUGUGAUGGAAGUCCACCUUUCUCUGGCUGACCAGGGCCCUGGCAGGGGAUUCUUGAUUAUUGGUUGGUUCCCUUUGUAGGAUCCAACUUUAGGCAGAUAAGGGAAGCUUGGCCGAGCCCUCUCUGUGCUUGCUGUCCCCAGGUGUCCUCUCUCUGAAAUACUCCACACACUCAAGGGCAUGUUUUUGGUGGCAUCUUUUGAACUCCUCAGCACAUGUUCUGUUGAGUGUGUCUUCUGGGAGCCCUGACUCACACCACACACUGUACUUGAAUAAAGGUUACUUCCAAAGCCCCUCACCUCUGGACUGUAACCAACUUGGUGACAAACUUAGUCCAUCUCCAUAUGCUGGCAUUUGCCACGUGGAAAAGGCCAUUUGACAGAUGGAAGCUGCGGUCCCACCCCAACUCCCAUUUCCUCUCUCUCUUUAAUGUUGAUUUUAUGCUCAUUUUAGAGACCCAGUCAAAAAGAUGGAUACAAGGCCAAAUCAGUGACAAAUGAAAAAGGGAUUUAGACACCUUGAGCUUUUGUGUUGUGUGGUGUGUGUGUGUGUGUGAGAGAGAGAGAGAUUAGUACUAUCCUUCGAAGGAAGGAAGGAGGAAGCUGAAUUCCUGACAGGGCUGGGAGGAGAUGGUGCCUGAACAGACUCUUGCAGUGGACCUCCACCUAGCCCUGUCUCCUAGGAUGAGGGUCCUCCAGUUUUCCUCCAGGGAUUGAAUUCACCUGACCCCACUGAUGGCCCAGUAUGAGCUCUUCCUGCUGCCAUCUGCUGCCCAGGGCCCAGGAUACCCUGUUCCUGCCCCUCCAAUGCCUCCUGCUCCCCAGACCUUCUGGUCGUUCUGCAUUUCUGUGCUCCAGGGUCUAACGUGGAUUCUGUGCCCUGUGACCUCAAAACCCAACAUAACUGAAGGUAUGUCCUCUUACCCAGGACACAUGCUGUAAGUCUGCCACACUGCUGAGUCUUCCACCCCAGGAGGCUCCUCCACAGCAUGUGGGAUGACACAGCAUCUCCAAGGAAUGCAGGACUGGGUGGCCCUGGGAGCAUCAAGAGUUGCCGGAGGAGAACCCUCAGGGAUGGAGACUGACCAAAGUUGGUGUCUUAGGUUCCACCUCCUAAAAUUUUCCAUGACAGCCAGGCAUCCUGUUGUGCUCAGGCCCAAGGGCUGGUCAGGCUGCCCCUGUGGAGAAGCAGCUAUGGCAGGUGGGGAUGACCUGUAUGUCAACCUGGGUGUUGUCAAGGGGCUAACAACUGUUAUGAUGAAUAAUGGCACCUUAACACUUGGUUAAACAUAUAUCAGAUGCAUUUCCAUGGGGAGACCUGUCUUGGGGAGAUUGGAUCCCCAUCAUCUGUGGAUGUCACUGCACACAUCAGUUUCCUGAAAUGAGGCAGAGAUGCCCAUGGCCCCCCUUCCUCCCCAGCAGCAAUGCGAGUGUCAUUGGUGCACCCAGCCCAGACGCUGAUGGGCUUGGAUGGCUGUAAUUGCAAACAUAACUGCAAACAAUAUAGGACCUGGGCUGUGUUAGGGCACUGUGUUGACCAAUUCCCUUGGGAAUUGAAUCAUUUCACACAGGAAAUGGAAAAGGCCUCCUAAUCUUCCCUUUGAAUGGGCUGUGAAAUAGGCUCUGAACCAACCCCGGGCAGAGUGGAGCAG